UACGUAGGGGGCAAGCGUUGUCCGGAUUUACUGGGCGUAAAGAGCGUGUAGGCGGCCAAGCAGGUCCGUUGUGAAAACUGGAGGCUUAACCUCCAGACGUCGACGGAAACCGCGUGGCUAGAGUCCGGAAGAGGAGAGUGGAAUUCCUGGUGUAGCGGUGAAAUGCGCAGAUAUCAGGAAGAACACCGAUGGCGAAGGCAGGUCUCUGGGCAUUAACUGACGCUGAGGAGCGAAAGCAUGGGGGAGCGAACAGG
rnacentral:rRNA from 1 species